UACGUAGGGGGCGAGCGUUGUUCGGAAUUACUGGGCGUAAAGCGAGUGUAGGCGGUCCGAUAAGUCGGGUGUGAAAGCCCUGGGCUCAACCCAGGAAGUGCACUCGAAACUGCCGGGCUAGAGUAUCGGAGAGGUUGGUGGAAUUCUCGGUGUAGAGGUGAAAUUCGUAGAUAUCGAGAGGAACACCGGUGGCGAAGGCGGCUAUCUGGACAGUGACUGACGCUGGGACGCGAAAGCGUGGGGAGCAAACAGG
rnacentral:rRNA from 1 species